CUAGAAUAGGUAGCCCUAGAGUGCCCACUACUCAACCAUCACCAUCACCUGAUCACAAGGCACAUGAUGAUCAUUAGUUUAAAGUUCAUCGCAUUUACAUGUUUUUAAUAUUAAUAGUUCAUACUCUAUUAUUGAACAUGUUACGAGUUUGGACUACACUAGUCUUCUUGAUUUUUGGAAUUUGACUAGGUUGUUUAUUGCCUAUGCUAUUAUUUUGUACUAAUGCGUAUAUGUAAUUACUCAUAUUUUGGAACUAGAAGUGAACUGUAAAGGUACAAUAUGUAAAGGUGCAAUAUAUUAUUUUGCCUUGUAUUUAGUUUGUUGGCUUUUGAA
rnacentral:lncRNA from 1 species